GCGCGGGGAGCUUGCUCCCUGGCGGCGAGUGGCGGACGGGUGAGUAACACGUAGGAAUCUGCCCAGUAGUGGGGGACAACUCGAGGAAACUCGAGCUAAUACCGCAUACGCCCUACGGGGGAAAGCGGGGGACCUUCGGGCCUCGCGCUAUUGGAUGAGCCUACGUCUGAUUAGCUUGUUGGUGGGGUAAAGGCCUACCAAGGCGACGAUCAGUAGCUGGUCUGAGAGGACGAUCAGCCACACUGGGACUGAGACACGGCCCAGACUCCUACGGGAGGCAGCAGUGGGGAAUAUUGGACAAUGGGCGCAAGCCUGAUCCAGCAAUGCCGCGUGUGUGAAGAAGGCCUUCGGGUUGUAAAGCACUUUCAGUAGGGAAGAAACACCAGGUGCCAAUACCACCUGGGAAUGACGUUACCUACAGAAGAAGCACCGGCUAACUCUGUGCCAGCAGCCGCGGUAAUACAGAGGGUGCGAGCGUUAAUCGGAAUUACUGGGCGUAAAGCGCGCGUAGGUGGUUUGGUAAGUCGGAUGUGAAAGCCCCGGGCUUAACCUGGGAAUGCCAUUCGAUACUGCCAGGCUAGAGUAUGGUAGAGGGAAGCGGAAUUCCGGGUGUAGCGGUGAAAUGCGUAGAUAUCCGGAGGAACACCAGUGGCGAAGGCGGCUUCCUGGACCAAUACUGACACUG
rnacentral:rRNA from 1 species